rfam:Schistosoma haematobium scaffold413_32, whole genome shotgun sequence.
AUCCGGCUGAUGAGUUCCGAACGGGACGAAACGCACGUCCUGGAU